UGAAUACGAGACGCUACGGCGUCGAAGCAGUCUAUGUCAUACUUCCAAGAAAAGCUUGCACUGUCAUAAACAAAUAAUGCCUGUACCAUAACCGACACAGGUGGGUAGGUAGAGUAUACUAAGGGGCGCGAGAUAACUCUCUCUAAGGAACUCGGCAAAAUGACUCCGUAACUUCGGGAGAAGGAGUGCCUUAUUCGUAAGGUUGCAAUAACAAGAUCCAAGCAACUGUUUAUCAAAAACACAGGUCUCCGCUAAGUCGUAAGACGAUGUAUGGGGGCUGACGCCUGCCCAGUGCCAGAAGGUUAAAGAAGUUGGUUAGCAUUCGCGAAGCUGAUAACUGAAGCCCUGGUGAACGGCGGCCGUAACAAUAACGGUCCUAAGGUAGCGAAAUUCCUUGUCGGGUAAGUUCCGACCCGCACGAAAGGCGUAAUGAUUUGGAUACUGUCUCGGAGAGAGGCUCGGUGAAAUAGACUUGUCUGUGAAGAUGCGGACUACCUGCACCUUGACAGAAAGACCCUAUGAAGCUUUACUGUAACUUGAAAUUGAAAUUGGACUUUAUAUGCGCAGUAUAGGUGGGAGGCGUUGAGAAUAUUCUUGCGGGAAUAUUGGAGCCAUCAGUGAGAUACCACUCUUGUAAUGUUAGAUUUCUAACUUUGGAUCAUUAUCUGGUCAAAGGACAGUUUCAGGCGGGCAGUUUGACUGGGGCGGUCGCCUCCCAAACGGUAACGGAGGCGUACAAAGGUUUCCUCUGAACGGGUAGAAAUCGUAUCUAGAGUGUAAAGGCAUAAGGAAGCUUGACUGUGAGACCUACAAGUCGAGCAGGGACGAAAGUCGGUCUUAGUGAUCUGACGGUGCUGAGUGGAAAGGCCGUCACUCAACGGAUAAAAGUUACUCUAGGAUAACAGGCUGAUCUCCCCCAAGAGUUCACAUCGACGGGGAGGUUUGGCACCUCGAUGUCGGCUCAUCGCAUCCUGGGGCGGUAGUACGUCCCAAGGGUUGGGCUGUUCGCCCAUGAAAGCGGUACGCGAGCUGGGUUCAGAACGUCGUGAGACAGUUCUGUCCAUAUCCGGUGUAGGCGUUAGAAUAUUGAGAGGAGCCUUCUUUAGUACGAGAGGACCGAGAAGGACAUACCUCUGGUGUACCAGUUAUCGUGCCAACGGUAAACGCUGGGUAGCUAUGUAUGGAGAGGAUAACCGCUGAAAGCAUCUAAGUGGGAAGCCCACCUCAAGAUAAGUAUUCUCA
rnacentral:rRNA from 1 species